UACGGAGGAGGCAAGCGUUAUCCGGAAUUAUUGGGCGUAAAGCGUCCGCAGGUGGCGAUUCAAGUCUGCGGUCAAAGACUGGGGCUUAACCCUGGAAAGGCCGUGGAAACUGAAUAGCUAGAGUGCAGUAGGGGUAGAGGGAAUUCCCGGUGUAGCGGUGAAAUGCGUAGAGCUCGGGAAGAACACCGGUGGCGAAAGCGCUCUGCUGGACUGAAACUGACACUCAGGGACGAAAGCUAGGGGAGCGAAUGGG
rnacentral:rRNA from 1 species